rnacentral:lncRNA from 1 species
ACUUGUACACGACAUAUACAUUUAAACGAUUUCUUGUAGGACCGAACUUUGCUUUACAAUUAAUCGAAGAAACUGCAUGAUUUUAAAAAAAUGAAUUGAUGGCAAACAUUGUCUUUACCUUUAAAUGAGAGGUUGGCAUCAUUAUUUGGAACUUCUGUUUUAAAAUUGUCGUUUUAUGAAAUUUGGUCAAAAAAUAUAAAUUUCCCCAAAUGACGUUAUGAAAGCAAAAAAUAAAAUAUUUGUAAACGGAUUAAUAUUUCCAUAAGUAUUACUACCUUCAAUAUUGGUCCUAUACACGGAAAACUUCAUCUUUCAUUUGAAUCAAAAGUCUUGUACAGUUUCUUUUGUUGACUAGUAUAUAUAGAUUUAUGUUUUUGGAACUCUGUUAGAAACUAAUGCAGCAUCAUUAUACUUUUCGACAGGUUUCUGAUAUACUUUCGAGCAUUUUAUCUGAGGCAUGCAAACCAUUGAAAGAAAAAUGAGGACAAUUUAAAUACAUAAAUCGUCUCAAAUAGUCUUACUUAAAGUUUACUCCAUGUAUCUAGGGAACCUGAAUGGUCCAUGGUUCAUAACAUUACCUUACGGGUUCACACACACACAAAAAAGCAAAGACUAAAGACGUUCUUCGUCUUCAUUUUAUAUGUUAUGAGGUGUAAACGAAGAGGUACUUUAUAAGGGCGUAUGCUUUCAAACACUUUGUGGUCAAAGUGUGUUAAAAGUAAACACAGUGUGAAAAGUUAUACAUAUUAAAACUGAUUUUUUUAGCUCACCUGGCCCAAAGGGCCAAGUGAGCUUUUCCCAUCACUUGGCGUCCGUCGUCCGUCGUCGUCGUCGUCCGUCGUCGUUAACUUUUACAAAAAUCUUCUCCUCUGAAACUACUGGGCCAAAUUAAACCAAACUUAGCCACAAUCCUCAUUGGGGUAUCUAGUUUAAAAAAUGUGUGGCGUGACCCGGCCAACCAACC